rnacentral:rRNA from 1 species
CCUACGGGUGGCAGCAGUGGGGAAUAUUGGACAAUGGGGGGAACCCUGAUCCAGCCAUGCCGCGUGUGUGAAGAAGGCCCUCGGGUUGUAAAGCACUUUCAGUGAGGAAGAACGCCUGGUGGUUAAUACCCAUCAGGAAAGACAUCACUCGCAGAAGAAGCACCGGCUAACUCCGUGCCAGCAGCCGCGGUAAUACGGAGGGUGCGAGCGUUAAUCGGAAUUACUGGGCGUAAAGCGCGCGUAGGUGGCUUGAUAAGCCGGUUGUGAAAGCCCCGGGCUCAACCUGGGAACGGCAUCCGGAACUGUCAAGCUAGAGUGCAGGAGAGGAAGGUAGAAUUCCCGGUGUAGCGGUGAAAUGCGUAGAGAUCGGGAGGAAUACCAGUGGCGAAGGCGGCCUUCUGGACUGACACUGACACUGAGGUGCGAAAGCGUGGGUAGCAAACAGGAUUAGAUACCCCUGUAGUC